CCUACGGGCGGCUGCAGUGGGGAAUAUUGCACAAUGGGGGGAACCCUGAUGCAGCAACACCGCGUGGGUGAUGAAGUUUUUCGGAUUGUAAACUCCUGUUAGUAGGGAAGAUAAUGACGGUAUCUAACGAAUAAGCACCGGCUAACUCCGUGCCAGCAGCCGCGGUAAUACGGAGGGUGCAAGCGUUACUCGGAAUUACUGGGCGUAAAGGGCGCGUAGGCGGGAUAGCAAGUCAGAUGUGAAAGCCUGUGGCUUAACCAUAGAACUGCAUUGGAAACUGUUAUGCUAGAGUAUGGGAGGGGUAGGUGGAAUUCUUAGUGUAGGGGUAAAAUGCGUAGAGAUUAAGAGGAAUACCGAUGGCGAAGGCGACCUACUAGAACAUAACUGACGUUGAUGCGCGAAGGCGUGGGGAGCAAACAGGAUUAGAUACCCUUGUAGUC
rnacentral:rRNA from 1 species